CACCUGCGCCACGAGUGGGACUCAUUAUUAUUGGGCCUAAAGCGUUCGUAGCCGGGUAUGCAAGUCUUGGGUGAAAUCGAUGCGCUUAACAAAUCGACGUGCUUGAGAUACUACAUAUCUUGAGAUCGGGAGGGGUUAGGGGUAUUCUGGAGGGAGCGGUAAAAUGUUAUAAUCUCCAGAGGACCACCUGUGGCGAAGGCGUCUAACCAGAACGAGUCUGACGGUGAGGAACGAAAGCUAGGGGAGCAAACCGGAUUAGAAA
rnacentral:rRNA from 1 species